GAUGAACGCUGGCGGCGUGCUUAACACAUGCAAGUCGAACGGAAAGGCCCUGCUUUUGCGGGGUGCUCGAGUGGCGAACGGGUGUGUAACACGUGAGUAACCUGCCCUUGACUUAGGGAUAACUUCAGGAAACUGGGGCUAAUACCGGAUAGGAGCUCCUGCUGCAUGGUGUGGGUUGGAAAGUUUCGGCGGUUGGGGCUAGACUCGCGGCUUAUCAGCUGGUUGGUGAGGUAGUGGCUUACGAAGGCUUUGACGGGUAGCCGGCCUGAGAGGGUGACCGGCGUCAUUGGGCCUGAGAGAAGGCCCAGACGGGUACGGGAAGCAGGAGUGGGGAAUAUUGCAGAAUGAGCGGGAGCCAGAUGCAACCACCCCGCGUGCGGGAUAACCGCCUUCGGGUUGUAAACCGCUUUCGCCUGAGACGAAGCGUGAGUGACGGUAAUGGGUAAGGAAGCACCGGCUAACUACGUG
rnacentral:rRNA from 1 species